GAGGUUAAGCGACUAAGCGUACACGGUGGAUGCCCUGGCAGUCAGAGGCGAUGAAGGACGUGCUAAUCUGCGAUAAGCGCCGGUAAGGUGAUAUGAACCGUUAUAACCGGCGAUUUCCGAAUGGGGAAACCCAGUGUGACUCGUCACACUAUCAUUAACUGAAUCCAUAGGUUAAUGAGGCGAACCGGGGGAACUGAAACAUCUAAGUACCCCGAGGAAAAGAAAUCAACCGAGAUUCCCCCAGUAGCGGCGAGCGAACGGGGAGGAGCCCAGAGCCUGAAUCAGCAUGUGUGUUAGUGGAAGCGUCUGGAAAGGCGCGCGAUACAGGGUGACAGCCCCGUACACAAAAGCGCAUGUGCUGUGAGCUCGAUGAGUAGGGCGGGACACGUGGUAUCCUGUCUGAAUAUGGGGGGACCAUCCUCCAAGGCUAAAUACUCCUGACUGACCGAUAGUGAACCAGUACCGUGAGGGAAAGGCGAAAAGAACCCCGGCGAGGGGAGUGAAAAAGAACCUGAAACCGUGUACGUACAAGCAGUGGGAGCCCCACCACUAAGCCAGUGGUGAACUCCACAUACGCAUCCUUUGCUGAGGAUACGGUUAACGGAGCGAAAGCGACGUUCAACCGCAAAAGAAGCAGAGGGGGCUUAGUGGUGGGGUGACUGCGUACCUUUUGUAUAAUGGGUCAGCGACUUAUAUUCUGUAGCAAGGUUAACCGAAUAGGGGAGCCGGAGGGAAACCGAGUCUUAAUUGGGCGUUAAGUUGCAGGGUAUAGACCCGAAACCCGGUGAUCUAGCCAUGGGCAGGUUGAAGGUUGGGUAACACUAACUGGAGGACCGAACCGACUAAUGUUGAAAAAUUAGCGGAUGACCUGUGGCUGGGGGUGAAAGGCCAAUCAAACCGGGAGAUAGCUGGUUCUCCCCGAAAGCUAUUUAGGUAGCGCCUCGUGAAUUCAUCUCCGGGGGUAGAGCACUGUUUCGGCUAGGGGGCCAUCCCGGCUUACCAACCCGAUGCAAACUGCGAAUACCGGAGAAUGUUAUCACGGGAGACACACGGCGGGUGCUAACGUCCGUCGUGAAGAGGGAAACAACCCAGACCGCCAGCUAAGGUCCCAAAGUCAUGGUUAAGUGGGAAACGAUGUGGGAAGGCCCAGACAGCCAGGAUGUUGGCUUAGAAGCAGCCAUCAUUUAAAGAAAGCGUAAUAGCUCACUGGUCGAGUCGGCCUGCGCGGAAGAUGUAACGGGGCUAAACCAUGCACCGAAGCUGCGGCAGCGACGCUGAUGCGUUGUUGGGUAGGGGAGCGUUCUGUAAGCCUGUGAAGGUGGCCUGUGAGGGUUGCUGGAGGUAUCAGAAGUGCGAAUGCUGACAUAAGUAACGAUAAAGCGGGUGAAAAGCCCGCUCGCCGGAAGACCAAGGGUUCCUGUCCAACGUUAAUCGGGGCAGGGUGAGUCGACCCCUAAGGCGAGGCCGAAAGGCGUAGUCGAUGGGAAACGGGUUAAUAUUCCCGUACUUGGUGUUACUGCGAAGGGGGGACGGAGAAGGCUAUGUUGGCCGGGCGACGGUUGUCCCGGUUUAAGCGUGUAGGUGUGUGUUCCAGGUAAAUCCGGUUCACUUUAACACUGAGGCGUGAUGACGAGGCACUACGGUGCUGAAGCAACAAAUGCCCUGCUUCCAGGAAAAGCCUCUAAGCAUCAGGUAACAUCAAAUCGUACCCCAAACCGACACAGGUGGUCAGGUAGAGAAUACCAAGGCGCUUGAGAGAACUCGGGUGAAGGAACUAGGCAAAAUGGUGCCGUAACU
rnacentral:rRNA from 1 species